UCAAAGCCUCCUGCAGAGGUGAGGUGGCUCACUGGUGCUUUGGGAGACAAAGUGAGGACGACAACAAAUUCCACACAGUAUGACAAUGGCACGACUACCACAGUCAGCUCUCUGUUUGGUGUUCCUAUGAGAGAGAUUAACGGUCACCAGGUCCAGUGUGUCAUCAGUGGUGACUUCCUGUCUAAAGUUGAAAGUCUGCCCUUCACUAUACAGAUCUACUUCUCUCCCACAGAAGUGAACAUCAGAGCAAAAUCUGAGGACUCAUUUGAGUGUGUGACAGAAGCCAAUCCAAGUGCAAAUUUUACAUGGAGCAGGCCACGCCCACGGACUACAGCGCCAUGAUGAGCAACAAAGCCAAGAAGUCUAUUGACUUCCUUCUGAUGCAGGACACCGCCCCGACGAUAGCCACGGACGUGUCACUGCAGUACCGCCUCGACAUCGUCUUCUGCCAAACGGUCACCUACACAUAUUUUAAUUAUUGUAUGUCUGAGCUGAUGCGUUUAUCCUGGAGUGACUCAGAGUGAAGGAGAAGGCCAAGAAGAAGUGUAAAUAUCAUAGAAGCAAGGAGUUCAGAGCUCUACGACUUAGUGUCUUUAUGGUAUUUAUGUGUGUAAUGGAGACCAGGGGUUCCAUUACCCUUACUUGUAUUUUUAUUAAUUGACUGACUGAUUUGUAUUUAAAAACCGUAAUGAAGAAAAACACACACUGGUUGAUUGUGAUUCUUUAUUAGGCUUUUUGGGUUGUUAUUUAAGUGACUCGUUAAAGGUGAAGAGACAGGGGGACUGGCCAUCCUACCUGUGUCAGGAAAAGAACCUGUGUUAGAGCUGUUCACAUUUAAUCAUUUGUCUGUAACCUAAAUUAGUUGUAUAUGUAAAAAGAGAAGUGUUAACAGUACUCACUUUGUAAAGAGUAAAAGCAGCUCAAUCACCUGCUUAUGAGCUCCUGGAGAAAACCAAUGUGCCAGGCUAGGGGAGUGUGUUGGAGUGAUUUUGUUAAAAGUUGUCAUUAUUGUGCUUGGACCUUGUCUUGAACUGUAUGUUCAGAUAUUUUCUGUUCCUCCCCCACAUGUAGGAUGUUGGGGAUGUUACUAGCUAUAGUUUUCAACUGCAGGCACAAUCUAUGUAAGAUUCUGGUUUCCUUAUUUGGUAAGGAAUGUUCACUUCCUGCCCUUUAUGGGCUCACCAUGUAAAUGGUGGACUGUUAGAGAGGUUAAGCCAUAUACGAGGUUGAGGGGAGAUGACCCUUUUAUGACUAGAGAUGCGGUUAAAACGUUUGUAAGCAGGAAGUCACGUAUACAGACACACAUACACUCUCUCUCACUCAC